rnacentral:rRNA from 1 species
UACGGGGGGGGCAAGCGUUGUUCGGAAUUACUGGGCGUAAAGGGCUCGUAGGCGGCCAACUAAGUCAGACGUGAAAUCCCUCGGCUUAACCGGGGAACUGCGUCUGAUACUGGAUGGCUAGAGUUUGGGAGAGGGAUGCGGAAUUCCAGGUGUAGCGGUGAAAUGCGUAGAUAUCUGGAGGAACACCGGUGGCGAAGGCGGCAUCCUGGACCGGUAUUGACGCUGAGGCGCGAAAGCCAGGGGAGCAAACGGG